UGUAUGUCUAUAUUUAAAUGUAUAAACACACAUAUUUUAGUUAGUAUUCAAUGUCAAUAAUUCACCUUUCUAAGCUGUGAGGUAUUCUUUAAGCAGACCACAAUUUUGAUGGUAAAUGCCUGCUCAUAAGCAUACUGCAGGAACCAAAACUUCGUCAACUGCUGGAGCACAGACUUCCAAAGGAGGCAGCACAGAAAUGAGAGGUUUGCAACUCAUUUGCAGAACUGAGAACUUGCAGGCAAGUUGCUCUCACUGCAGCAAAUUUUGGUGCCAUUUGGGCUGGGUCAGGUGUUACACUUAGGACAGGGCUCUGCAGGUACGUGAUGUCUGCAGCCUGUGUGGCUGCUUUCUGCAGUGUCCCCACCUGUGCCCUGGCCACUCAUUGGCUCUGACCAUCUCCCACCUUGCUGCUUUCCCUUCUCCAGCACACAGUGCUGCUCUCACAGGGAAGCACUUUGCCUCCCUCUGACCAGGGAAGGACAUGCGGCCUUCAUAUCUUCUAAGAGUCGCAUCCUUUUGGUGUAACAAAAUCUGCCUGGUGCUAGCAAAGCAGUGUAGAGGCUGUUUGAAACUUCUCUUAAUGCUGGAUCUAACCUGUGCGCUACCUGGUAAUGUCUUCCCUGCUGCCAGGUUUUAUUCUGUCUGUACCAAUAUGAGACCUGGUAUGAGCAGUCAGCUGGUGCCUUUGGAAGCCAAAGUGAAGCAGUAUUGAAGUGCUUUCAGCACUCAAAACAGGCUGAGAUCGGAUUCAGUGAGCCUGGAGAAGAGGGGGAGGGGAACGAUGAAACUACAGGAAAU
rnacentral:lncRNA from 1 species